CCUACGGGCGGCAGCAGUGAGGAAUAUUGGUCAAUGGACGAGAGUCUGAACCAGCCAAGUAGCGUGAAGGAUGACUGCCCUAUGGGUUGUAAACUUCUUUUAUAUGGGAAUAAAAUGUUCCACGUGUGGGAUUUUGUAUGUACCAUAUGAAUAAGGAUCGGCUAACUCCGUGCCAGCAGCCGCGGUAAUACGGAGGAUCCGAGCGUUAUCCGGAUUUAUUGGGUUUAAAGGGAGCGUAGGUGGAUUGUUAAGUCAGUUGUGAAAGUUUGCGGCUCAACCGUAAAAUUGCAGUUGAAACUGGCAGUCUUGAGUACAGUAGAGGUGGGCGGAAGUCGUGGUGUAGCGGUGAAAUGCUUAGAUAUCACGAAGAACUCCGAUUGCGAAGGCAGUUCACUGGACUGCAACUGACACUGAGGCUCGAAAGUGUGGGUAUCAAACAGGAUUAGAUACCCGGGUAGUC
rnacentral:rRNA from 1 species